UACGGAGGGGGCUAGCGUUGUUCGGAAUUACUGGGCGUAAAGGGCGCGUAGGCGGAUAUUUAAGUCGGGGGGUGAAAGCCCGGGGCUCAACCUCGGAAUUGCCUUCGAUACUGGAUAUCUUGAGUUCGGGAGAGGUGAGUGGAAUGCCGAGUGUAGAGGUGAAAUUCGUAGAUAUUCGGCGGAACACCAGUGGCGAAGGCGACUCACUGGCCCGAUACUGACGCUGAGGCGCGAAAGCGUGGGGAGCAAACAGG
rnacentral:rRNA from 1 species